CAGUAGCCGCGGUAAUACGAAGGGAGCUAGCGUUGCUCGGAAUGACUGGGCGUAAAGGGCGCGUAGGCGGCGAUCAAAGUCAGGCGUGAAAUUCCUGGGCUCAACCUGGGGGCUGCGCUUGAUACUUGGUUGCUUGAGUGGGGAAGAGGGUCGUGGAAUUCCCAGUGUAGAGGUGAAAUUCGUAGAUAUUGGGAAGAACACCGGUGGCGAAGGCGGCGACCUGGUCCUUGACUGACGCUGAGGCGCGAAAGCGUGGGGAGCAAACAGGAUUAGAUACCCCAGUAGUCCCUGUCUCUUAUAC
rnacentral:rRNA from 1 species